rnacentral:lncRNA from 13 species
AUCCUACCAAGGAUACCAUCAUGUUCUAAAGCCCUGAUACUCAUCACUCACCUUGGAGAGCUGAAUAUUCCUCUCUGUCUGAGCUCAGAAAUGACUCUUGAUGUAAUUUGGUGGAAAAACAGUUCUGAAAAGUAUUUACAAUGACCAUGGAUGACAGGGGAAGUCGUGUGUUCUAUUUCUUUUCCCAGUAGUCUGUCAUUGUCCUGCAUUGGCAGUGACUUGAAGCUAGUGCUCUAAAUAUCCUUGGCUCCAAAGUACAGAGAGCUAUCUUGAUAUUUCUUCUGCCUAUGAUCAUCUCUGCAUACUAGUUAGAAGCACUGUAAAGACAAGUUUUAUAGGAAAAUCUUAUAUUAGAUGAGGAAGAAGCCACAAAACCUCUGCCAGGCUGUGAAUGUCUCCUUCUAGAGGUGAUCAGGAGUUCUGAUGAAGUUGAUGGAGGUGAUUCUAGAGGAGGCACUGGGGAGAAACAGCUUAUUGUUGUCCAUCCACUGUGUAACAGCCUAUACAUUGCAAGGAGGCAACAAAGGCUUGGAGCAUUUCUCUAAGAGAGAUCAGUUUCUGAGCACCUGCUGGAAGUGCUGCUGUUUCUGGACCCCAGUGUCCUGGUGUAGCCCUGCUCAGCCUCCCACUGGCCCUUCAGAGCUGGCAUGGAUUCAGGUUUCAAUAUGUACAGAUACAAUCAGGGGCUGUAUGACACGGUUCCUACACUAUCCCUUUUGCCUGAAGACAGGAGUGUAUUUCCCAGUAAGAAUUUCAGGUAACACAGAACAACCUGAAAAGAAAAUUUUUUCCUGCCUGGAAGUUCAGUGCAGUGGUCCUGCAGUCAGUGUCCUACUAGCCAGAGAUGGUCCCAAAGGUGCAAAGGGAGAACAGUAA